UACGUAGGUGACAAGCGUUGUCCGGAUUUACUGGGCGUAAAGAGCGCGCAGGCGGUCGUUCAAGUCGCGUGUGAAAGCCCCCGGCUCAACUGGGGAGGGUCACGCGAUACUGAUCGACUCGAAGGCAGGAGAGGGAAGUGGAAUUCCCGGUGUAGUGGUGAAAUGCGCAGAUAUCAGGAGGAACACCGGUGGCGAAGGCGGAUCUCUGGGCCAUUACUGACGCUGAGGAGCGAAAGCGUGGGGAGCGAACAGG
rnacentral:rRNA from 1 species